rnacentral:rRNA from 1 species
AUUGAACGCUGGCGGCAGGCCUAACACAUGCAAGUCGAGCGGAUGAAGGGAGCUUGCUCCUGGAUUCAGCGGCGGACGGGUGAGUAAUGCCUAGGAAUCUGCCUGGUAGUGGGGGAUAACGUCCGGAAACGGGCGCUAAUACCGCAUACGUCCUGAGGGAGAAAGUGGGGGAUCUUCGGACCUCACGCUAUCAGAUGAGCCUAGGUCGGAUUAGCUAGUUGGUGGGGUAAAGGCCUACCAAGGCGACGAUCCGUAACUGGUCUGAGAGGAUGAUCAGUCACACGGGAACUGAGACACGGUCCAGGCGCCGACGGGAGGCAGCAGUGGGGAAUAUGGGAAAAUGGGCGAAAGCCUGAACCAGCCAUGCCGCGGGGGUGAAGAAGGUCUUCGGAUUGUAAAGCUCUUUAAGUUGGGAGAAAGGGCAGUAAGUUAAUACCUUGCUGUUUUGACGUUACCAAAAGAAUAAGCACCGGCUAACUUCGU